rnacentral:rRNA from 1 species
AGUGUAGGCGGGAUAUCAAGUCAGAAGUGAAAAUUACGGGCUCAACUCGUAACCUGCUUUUGAAACUGACAUUCUUGAGUGAAGUAGAGGCAAGCGGAAUUCCUAGUGUAGCGGUGAAAUGCGUAGAUAUUAGGAGGAACACCAGUGGCGAAGGCGGCUUGCUGGGCUUUUACUUGACGCUGAGGCUCGAAAGCGUGGGGAGCAAACA